rnacentral:tRNA from 1 species
CGCGGGGUGGAGCAGCUCGGUAGCUCGCUAGGCUCAUAACCUAGAGGUCACAGGUUCAAAUCCUGUCCCCGCUA